GAAAGAAAGAAACCUCUUCGCCGUGGCGAUUCGUAGUUCACACGCUCACGAGGCAAACUUGCCGGCUGGGCUUUUUUCAUGAACAGUACUUGAUCUCCUUCGUGCCUUAGGACAAACCCAGGAGGAAGAUACUGAAAUUGCAGAUGACCUCUUAGCCCAAAAAUACUGAUCUGUGUGUGUGCUUCCGGUAUGAUGUGCAAACACGAGACAUCUCGUCUGGAAAGGGUGAUAUUAGGAAGAAGCUACUCCCGAAGUGUAUUUUGUCGCAGAUCUCCUGCAGUUCCUUUGGAUGAAUAUGCACUUGCCUUCAGAGAGCCUGAAACCUCUGACGGGGCAAAAAAACAAAAACAAAAACAAAACCUGCCUGGGGAGUCCCAGGGGUCUCUGUUCAGGCCUUCUUCUUCUUCCUUUACCUUGGACUUUCUCACUUCCAAAGCUUCGAUAGCUUAUGCCAGUUUAACAUUUCGACUCUCAAAUAUGAGGCUCUCCCAUAGUUUUUUUUUUUUUUUUCUCGAGGUUCUCAAGCAAAAUUGCCUGUGCCACAAUGUUAUGAUGGAAGGAUGCUGAAAUGACAGGCCUAGUAGACGCUUGUCUUAAUCAUCGGCUUCUUAAUUUAGUUUUAGUGCAGUGUGUGUGUGCGCGCGCGCGCGUGUGUGUGCGCGCGCGCACGCACACACACAGGCUCGCACACAUGUGCGCGCCCCCGGAGGUAUUGGGGGUGCGCGCGUGCGUGCUGACAGCAGCCGCUUGACAACCGGCAGCUCCCUAAUGAGUGACGAGGCAGGGCUGCUGCAGAAAAGUAACACUUCCCUGGUGUGAAGACCUCUUACUGAGAAGUUUAGUUCACUACUGUUCUCGCAAACCUAAUCGUGUAACCUGUAACCAAAACCCACAGAACAAGGAUACAAGACGCUAAAGAGUAACUUAUAAUCACUAAAUGUUAGCACCAUUACCUGCUGUUAGGAAGCGAUUGCAGACCUCGCUCGUCAGUCUCUGGAAAUACCUGGAUGCCUCUGCACGAGUUCCACUUGUUCCCAAACGUCACGGGGUCAGGGACUCCCUAUGCAUCUGCAGGAAGAGAGCUUUAGCCAGAGCUUGGUGCCACUCCAAGGACAUUCUGUCCAGGGAGCCAAAAGCAAAGUGGAUUUUAGGUAAAAAUGGCCCUCCCUCCUUUAGCCAGCAGAUACUAAGGGGAAAAAAAAGAAGUGAAAAAAAACGACAGAAAGCGGGGGGAAAGCCCUUAAAGAAGACUUAAUGUAACACCGCCAAAUGGAAAAACUAAAUGUGCUGCUCCCUACUCAGAUGCAAUAGGCUGUGGUGCCUUGGUUAUUAAUUAAAAGUAGACAUGAAAUCA